CGCGCAGAAAAUGAUCGUUAAUCAACGCGACAAGCAGAUUAGCUUUGCGUCGCUUCACUCGAAGUUUAAACGUGCGAGAGACGACCGUUUAUCGACGCGCUGUGCAACAAGCAAUCAGAAAAUUGGACGCAUUAUCGACACCCGGUUACGGAACUUAACUUACUUUACGCAGGACCGGUGUAAUGGGUCGAUGCUUUCAUUCGCUGGAACGACAUCGUGCGAAUUAGCUUUCAAAGUGGAAUAGAUACGGAAAGACUCUAUCAUCGAUACGGUUAAAAUGAGUUCGAGCUAGCGGAAAACCUAUAACCUCUCAUGGGACAAAUUUUAAGUGGAUUUUCUUUUUUUGCUUUAAUCGAAUGCACGCAAAGCGUAGCAAUCUCCACCCGUGAAUCGAUUUUGCUACGAAAAUAUGCUGUCUCACUUUAAUAAUGUAUAUGUUUUAAUUCUAAAAAAGGAGGAUUGCAAUUACAUAUUGAUAAACAGCGAUGGAUUUUCGUAUCUGAGCGAAAUUUAAAGGAAUUUCGAUAACGUUCAGCCAAGCGACAACGAUUUAUAUUUUGGAACGUAAUCGAAUUCCGUGAAAAAGAACUUCUGAGUGAAAACAUUCUGAACAAUGAUAUAAAAUUUAAAUAAAUGAAUGCAACGAUUGAAUUAUACACAGACAACAAAAAAUGGUAAUCAGCAAUCCCUUUCCCAUUCCCGUUCAAGUAAUUACAUUAUUUGCAUUUUUAUCGCUAAUAUAAAAGUCGUUCCGCGAGAAUUGCCAUGGCGAUGAAGUUUAUAACUUCUCAUAAAAAAUAACUGUCGCAAUGUAGCACGCCACAACGUAAAUCUAAUUGACCCACAUCGUGACGUACAAUUUAUAAAUGUUUUAAUCUUCUCCGAACGUUAAAACCUUUGACUGUAACUGGCACUGUAUGCGAUAAAAAUGGCCGAGAAACAAAGUGCAAUUGAAACAAAAAACCUGUACUACGGGAUGCUAAAGGGGAAUGAUAAACCAUAGUAAACCAGUAGAUAAUUGUAAACGAGCAUAAUGCAAUACAAAAUCGUACAAUAAAAUAGAGGAGUAUUACAACUCGAGAGUCUGAUUCAUAUUCUCGUGACAAUUUCAACUUGUUUUAGCGCGUACCUUGUACAGUAAACUCUCUCAUGGGUUUACCUUUAAUACUUUAUGCAGCGUGCAUCCUUUCAACGAGCGUGUUUAACGCGGUUGAAAUUUGAAGUAUUAACAACUCGCAGCACAGUACAAGGAGAUAGUCGAACAUGAAAGCCUUCGUUCGCAAAAAGAAACGCGAAAGCGGGAAAUUAAAUGAAUUAAUGCGAUAAGACACUCGCUGUACAUGCGCGCAGCUUUAAAUCGCAAAAAUGUUUUCGUCAACAUCGCUCUAAUUAAAGGGAAAACUAGGUCAUGGUAAGCGGUUGAUAAACAAUGUAUACUGCAUGCAUAUAUGUCGAAUUUAGACCUUAAGAUUGCACAAAAAAAAAGAAAAUACAAAA